rnacentral:rRNA from 1 species
AACGAACGCUGGCGGCAUGCCUAACACAUGCAAGUCGAACGAGACCUUCGGGUCUAGUGGCGCACGGGUGCGUAACGCGUGGGAACCUGCCUUUAGGUUCGGAAUAACUCAGAGAAAUUUGAGCUAAUACCGGAUGAUGUCUUCGGACCAAAGAUUUAUCGCCUUUAGAUGGGCCCGCGUUGGAUUAGCUAGUUGGUGGGGUAAAGGCCUACCAAGGCGACGAUCCAUAGCUGGUCUGAGAGGAUGAUCAGCCACACUGGGACUGAGACACGGCCCAGACUCCUACGGGAGGCAGCAGUGGGGAAUAUUGGACAAUGGGCGAAAGCCUGAUCCAGCAAUGCCGCGUGAGUGAUGAAGGCCUUAGGGUUGUAAAGCUCUUUUACCCGAGAUGACAAUGACAGUAUCGGGAGAAUAAGCUCCGGCUAACUCCGUG